UUUCUAUUUACAAUGUUGUUUCAUCUACUGUAUAUGAUGAUUUUAUAGAUAGGUUGGUUGUAAAGUGAUUUAGGUUAAAUAUAAUCUAUUGUUUCUUAAAGUAAAAAACACAGAAACUUGAGGGACGAACAUAAUUUCAAAGAUUGCCAUAUUUUCACUGCAACAGUAUCAAAAAUCCUAUUCAAGCAACCUGAUAAUUCUUUCUCC
rnacentral:lncRNA from 1 species